rnacentral:rRNA from 1 species
UACGUAGGGUGCGAGCGUUGUCCGGAAUUAUUGGGCGUAAAGAGCUCGUAGGCGGUCUGUCGCGUCGAUCGUGAAAACUUGGGGCUUAACCCUGAGCUUGCGGUCGAUACGGGCAUGACUGGAGUUCGGCAGGGGAGACUGGAAUUCCUGGUGUAGCGGUGAAAUGCGCAGAUAUCAGGAGGAAUACCGGUGGCGAAGGCGGGUCUCUGGGCCGAUACUGACGCUGAGGAGCGAAAGCGUGGGGAGCGAACAGG